UGGAUAGGGGUGAAAGGCUAAACAAACCUGGAAAUAGCUGGUUCUCUCCGAAAACUAUUUAGGUAGUGCCUCGUGUCUCACCUUCGGGGGUAGAGCACUGUCAUGGUUGGGGGGUCUAUUGCAGAUUACCCCGCCAUAGCAAACUCCGAAUACCGAAGAGUGCAAUCACGGGAGACAGACAUCGGGUGCUAACGUCCGGUGUCAAGAGGGAAACAACCCAGACCGCCAGCUAAGGUCCCCAAAUAUAGCUAAGUGGGAAACGAAGUGGGAAGGCUAAAACAGUCAGGAGGUUGGCUUAGAAGCAGCCACCCUUUAAAGAAAGCGUAAUAGCUCACUGAUCGAGUCGUCCUGCGCGGAAGAUGUAACGGGGCUAAGCUAUAUACCGAAGCUGCGGAUGCGUGCUUUGCACGCAUGGUAGGAGAGCGUUCCGUAAGCCUGCGAAGGUGCGUUGAAAAGCGUGCUGGAGGUAUCGGAAGUGCGAAUGCUGACAUGAGUAGCGAUAAAGGGGGUGAAAGGCCCCCUCGCCGUAAGCCCAAGGUUUCCUACGCAACGUUCAUCGGCGUAGGGUGAGUCGGCCCCUAAGG
rnacentral:rRNA from 1 species